rnacentral:rRNA from 1 species
AGAGUUUGAUCCUGGCUCAGAUUGAACGCUGGCGGCAUGCUUUACACAUGCAAGUCGAACGGCAGCACGGGUGCUUGCACCUGGUGGCGAGUGGCGAACGGGUGAGUAAUGCACCGGAACGUACCCAGUAAUGGGGGAUAACACAUCGAAAGAUGUGCUAAUACCGCAUACGCCCUGAGGGGGAAAGCGGGGGAUCGUAAGACCUCGCGUUAUGUUAUUGAGCGCGGAGCGGAUAAGCUAGUUUUUGAGGUAAGAGCUCACCAAGGCGACGAUCCGUAGCUGGUCUGAGAGGACGACCAGCCACACUGGGACUGAGACACGGCCCAGACUCCUACGGGAGGCAGCAGUGGGGAAUUUUGGACAAUGGGCGCAAGCCUGAUCCAGCCAUGCCGCGUGAGUGAAGAAGGCCUUCGGGUUGUAAAGCUCUUUCGCAAGGAAAGAAAACUUAUCUACUAA